CGCAAACUUCUUUUUCGAUAAGAACUCUAAAAAAAAAUAACGCUGUUAUCCCUAAGGUAAUUUAAUCUUAUAAUCAUAAAAUUAUGGAUCACUUAAUCAUAAAUUAAUGUUUUAAAUAUAAAAAAAGUUCAUUAAAUUUCUCAGUUGCCCCAACUAAAUAUUAUAAUAAAUAUUUAAAUUAUAUAUACUUAAAUAUCCAAAUAUUUAAUAUAAUAUAAAAUUCUAUAGGGUCUUCUCGUCUUUUAAAAUAAUUUAAGCUUUUUUACUUAAAAAUAAAAUUCUAAUUUAAAUUAAAUUGAGACAGUAUUUUCUUCGUCAAACCUUUCAUUCCAGUUCUCAAUUAAAAAACUAAUGAUUAUGCUACCUUUGCACGGUCAAAAUACCGCAGCCAUUUAAAAAAUAUUCAUAGGGCAGGCCAGACUUUAAAUUAUUAUCAAAAAGCCAU
rnacentral:rRNA from 1 species